rnacentral:rRNA from 1 species
UACGUAGGGGGCUAGCGUUGUCCGGAAUCAUUGGGCGUAAAGAGCGUGUAGGCGGCCCGGUAAGUCCGCUGUGAAAGUCGGGGGCUCAACCCUCGGAUGCCGGUGGAUACUGUCGGGCUUGAGUACGGAAGAGGCGAGUGGAAUUCCUGGUGUAGCGGUGAAAUGCGCAGAUAUCAGGAGGAACACCAAUGGCGAAGGCAGCUCGCUGGGACGGUACUGACGCUGAGACGCGAAAGCGUGGGGAGCAAACAGG